rnacentral:rRNA from 1 species
CGGGGUGCAGCAGGCGCGAAAACUUUACAAUGCGGGAAACCGUGAUAAGGGGACACCGAGUGCCAGCAUCAUAUGCUGGCUGUCCGGGUGUGUAAAAUACACCCGUUAGCAAGGGCCGGGCAAGACCGGUGCCAGCCGCCGCGGUAACACCGGCGGCCCGAGUGGUGAUCGUGAUUAUUGGGUCUAAAGGGUCCGUAGCCGGUUUGGUCAGUCCUCCGGGAAAUCUGACGGCUCAACCGUUAGGCUUUCGGGGGAUACUGCCAGGCUUGGAACCGGGAGAGGUAAGAGGUACUACAGGGGUAGGAGUGAAAUCUUGUAAUCCCUGUGAGACCACCUGUGGCGAAGGCGUCUUACCAGAACGGGUUCGACGGUGAGGGACGAAAGCUGGGGGCACGAACCGGAUUAGAUACCCGGGUAGUCCCAGCCGUAAACGAUGCUCGCUAGGUGUCAGGCAUGGCGCGACCGUGUCUGGUGCCGCAGGGAAGCCGUGAAGCGAGCCACCUGGGAAGUACGGCCGCAAGGCUGAAACUUAAAGGAAUUGGCGGGGGAGCAAAGGGCGAAUGCG